UACGAGGGGGGCAAGCGUUGUUCGGAAUUAUUGGGCGUAAAGGGUGCGUAGGCGGUUUGACAAGUCUCAUGUGAAAUCUUCGGGCUCAACCCGAAACUGCAUUUGAUACUGCGGUGCUUGAGGACUGGAGAGGAGACUGGAAUUUACGGUGUAGCAGUGAAAUGCGUAGAGAUCGUAAGGAAGACCAGUGGCGAAGGCGGGUCUCUGGACAGUUCCUGACACUGAGGCACGAAGGCCAGGGGAGCAAACGGG
rnacentral:rRNA from 1 species